UACGUAGGGGGCUAGCGUUGUCCGGAAUCAUUGGGCGUAAAGCGCGUGUAGGCGGCCCGGUAAGUCCGCUGUGAAAGUCGGGGGCUCAACCCUCGAAUGCCGGUGGAUACUGUCGGGCUAGAGUGCGGAAGAGGCGAGUGGAAUUCCGUGGUGUAGCGGUGAAAUGCGCAGAUAUCAGGAGGAACACCGGUGGCGAAGGCGGCUUGCUGGGCCAGUUCUGACGCUGAGGGGCGAAAGCGUGGGGGAGCGAACAGG
rnacentral:rRNA from 1 species